AACGAACGUUGGCGGCGUGGAUUAGGCAUGCAAGUCGAACGAAUCCCAGGGGGGUAACUCUCUGGGGGAAGUGGCGAAAGGGGCAGUAAUGCGUGGGUAACCUACCCCGGGGAUCGGGAUAGCCUUCCUAACGGAAGGGUAAUACCGGGCGAUCCAGCGAGGACACCUGUCUUUGCUGGGAAAUGAAUUUCGCCUCGGGAGGGGCUCACGUGCUAUUAGCUAGUUGGUGAGGUGACGGCUCACCAAGGCGAAGAUGGCUAGCAGGUGUGAGAGCACGACCUGCGCCACUGGCACUGUGACACUGGCCAGACUCCUACGGGAGGCUGCAGUCGAGGAUCUUCGGCAAUGGGCGCAAGCCUGACCGAGCGACGCCGCGUGUGCGAUGAAGGCCUUCGGGUUGUAAAGCACUGUCGAGGGGGAGGAAAGCCGCAAGGCCUGACCUAUCCCUGGAGGAAGCACGGGCUAAGUUCGUGCCAGCAGCCGCCGAA
rnacentral:rRNA from 1 species